UACAUGGGGUGCAAACGUUGCUCGGAAUUAUUGGGCGUAAAGCGCGCGUAGGCGGUUACUUAAGUCGGAUGUGAAAGCCCUCGGCUUAACUGAGGAAGUGCACCCGAAACUGAGUAGCUAGAGUACUAAAGAGGGUCGCGGAAUUCCCGGUGUAGAGGUGAAAUUCGUAGAUAUCGGGGAGGAACACCGGUGGCGAAGGCGGCGACCUGGGUCGAG
rnacentral:rRNA from 1 species